rnacentral:rRNA from 1 species
GACGAACGCUGGCGGCGUGCUUAACACAUGCAAGUCGAACGCUGAAGCUUGGUGCUUGCACUGGGUGGAUGAGUGGCGAACGGGUGAGUAAUAUGUGAGUAACCUGCCCUUGACUCUGGGAUAAGCCUGGGAAACUGGGUCUAAUACUGGAUACGACAUGCCACUGCAUGGUGGUGUGUGGAAAGGGUUUUACUGGUUUUGGAUGGGCUCACGGCCUAUCAGCUUGUUGGUGGGGUAAUGGCCUACCAAGGCGACGACGGGUAGCCGGCCUGAGAGGGUGACCGGCCACACUGGGACUGAGACACGGCCCAGACUCCUACGGGAGGCAGCAGUGGGGAAUAUUGCACAAUGGGCGGAAGCCUGAUGCAGCGACGCCGCGUGAGGGAUGACGGCCUUCGGGUUGUAAACCUCUUUCAGCACGGAAGAAGCGAGAGUGACGGUACGUGCAGAAGAAGCGCCGGCUAACUACGUG